CACGCCGUAAACGAUGAGUACUAGGUGUAGGGGGUAUCGACCCCCCCUGUGCCGCAGUAAACACAAUAAGUACUCCGCCUGGGAAGUACGAUCGCAAGAUUAAAACUCAAAGGAAUUGACGGGGACCCGCACAAGCAGCGGAGCAUGUGGUUUAAUUCGAAGCAACGCGAAGAACCUUACCUGGACUUGACAUCCCAGUGACCGCUCUAGAGAUAGAGUUUUCCCUUCGGGGACAUUGGUGACAGGUGG
rnacentral:rRNA from 1 species